rfam:Micromonospora narathiwatensis strain DSM 45248 genome assembly, chromosome: I
CCAGGCGCGUGCUUGCUGCCUGGCCCUGCCCUUGGCGUGCGCUGCUGGUAACGGCGGGGUGCGAAGCCCGAGGGGAAAGCCGAAGGG